UUACAUAUGUUUUGCAGAGUACAAUUCUUGUCAGCAUUGAGAUGGCGCAGUUUUCUCAUGUCUCAAACUAUGUUAGCAAGGCAUAACUAGGAACAAAUGCAAUUUAGGAAAUGAAAAACUCAAGAGUAUUGAAGAUACUUUGAGUGCUGCCAGACUAAACUAUCAUAUCAAAACAGAUUUUGUGGUGGAACUAAAAUUGAUAUCUUGGGCAAAAAUGUUGUUGAGAAGUAUAGUAAGGACAAAGGUAGGCGUUGAAGGUUGGCAUUGACUCAUGUUUUCCCUCAGUUAAUCUAAGGAAACAAGUAAACCAAACCAAAACAAGGGUCUACACAUGCUGUGUGUUCCAUCGUUACAUGGGGAGUUUAAGAAUAUUGGGAACGAAGUGUGCUUUUGAACGAACAUAUCAACUAUAAGAGCUAAUCAAUGACGUAUUAGAGGCAACGACAAUUUGAGAAAAUGAUCUCAUUUUCUAAAUUCUCUCUCUGCUUCACCUCUCUCUGUGCAGAAAAUCAAAUUGGAGGCAAGGAAAGUGUACUUUAUCAAAAAGUUGUCCCAAAAAGCACAAACUCAUUCCACAAAUUUGUGAUAUAUUCCUACACAAAGUUUACAAUUAAUUUCUAAAUGUCUGGUAAUUAUGUAUUUAUUACUAAAUGUUAAGCUAUGGUAUAUAUUCUUUUUCAUGACAGUCUAUUUGCAAUUGCAAUAAGUGUUGUUCCAUGUUUUAGUUUUUGUU